rnacentral:rRNA from 1 species
CGUAGGGUGCGAGCGUUGUCCGGAAUUAUUGGGCGUAAAGAGCUUGUAGGCGGUUUGUCGCGUCUGCUGUGAAAAUCCGGGGCUCAACCCCGGACUUGCAGUGGGUACGGGCAGACUAGAGUGUGGUAGGGGAGACUGGAAUUCCUGGUGUAGCGGUGAAAUGCGCAGAUAUCAGGAGGAACACCGAUGGCGAAGGCAGGUCUCUGGGCCAUUACUGACGCUGAGAAGCGAAAGCAUGGGGAGCGAACAGGAUU